rnacentral:rRNA from 1 species
UGGUGCGAUCAUACCAGCACUAAUGCACCGGAUCCCAUCAGAACUCCGAAGUUAAACGUGCUUGGGCGAGAGUAGUACUAAGAUGGGUGACCUCUUGGGAGUCCUCGUGUUGCACCUC